CGUGUAGGUAGAUGGAGACGCAACAGGUGCUUGAGAGCUCUCACUGCUCAUGCAUGCACAAAAGCGAGACACCGCACAUGCAUGCAUGGAUGGGUGGCAAGCUUCACCCACGCUUCUCACCGUGUAUCAGUGUACGUACCCCGGCGAGCUCCUUUUACUACCACUCGUUGUUACUACCACUCUCACCACGUGCACGUGUGUGGAGCACGAAGGUUGAUGGAAUGGAAGAUGGAUGGGGCCGGGGAGGUAGGACGGACACGGCGCACCGCGACUAGGGCUCCCUUCUUCUUCUUCUUCCAUGCACGCCGUAGCUAAAGCUGCUAGCCUGAUUGUUCCUUCCUUUCACAUUCGUCUUUGGCUUUCCUCGUGUUGUCUGUACCCCUCUACGUUGUACCUCUAACACUAGCUGCUACUGCCACUACGAAUUAGCUGGAGCUAUAUUUUGCUCUAAGGAAGAACCAAGAUUCCUUGGCUGGAGGCGGGGCCAUGGCGGAAGGUGGCGGAUGCAAGCGUACAAACACGUCAAAAGGUGGCCCGGCCGGGGGCGCCCAAAACCGCGGUGGUUUUGGCCGUAGCUCCACACCGCCGGCUUUUCCCUUGUCUCAUCUGCCCUGCGCUGCGCCCACAACAUUUCUCUCUCUGCCCCUUCUUCUCUGUCUAGAUUUCUCUCUCUGUCUCGGGUCGCUAUCAUCGGGAACAUUGCAAGAUCCCGGCGGGCUUUGCAUGUGCCGCGAAGUGGGCUAGCUUGGACGGGCCGGGGCCGGGCACAAUCACGAACCCAGCCUCACUCAGAACGUGGGUAAAUUAUAGUAAUUCAUUUCUGUCAUGUGAAUGGAUGAAUGUAUGUGGCGUCUAGCUCGCUCCCCGGAUGAAAAGUAAUACCAUAGACAGGUAGACAAUUUUUUUUAGAAAGAUCUGUUUUUUAUAUAUAUAUUUCCCCAUGUUAGUGCUUGCUGUAUUCAUGAAAAAUUCAUGCAAAAAGAUGAUUUUUUUUGUUUCAUAUGUAAAAGAUGCAAAGUUCAGCUCUCUUAAAUAACAAAAAAUAGAAAAUUGUUA